AUUGAACGCUGGCGGCAGGCCUAACACAUGCAAGUCGAACGAGUGGCGGACGGGUGAGUAAUGUCUGGGACACUGCCUGAUGGAGGGGGAUAACUACUGGAAACGGUAGCUAAUACCGCAUACCAUCGGAUGGUCCCGGAUGGUAUUAGCUAGUAGGUGGGGUAAAGGCUCACAUAGGCGACGAUCCCUAGCUGGUCUGAGAGGAUGACCAGCAACACUGGAACUGAGACACGGUCCAGACGCCUACGGGAGGCGGAAGUGGGGAAUAGUGCAAAAUGGGCGCAAGCCUGAUGCAGCCAUGCCGCGUGUAUGAAGAAGGCCUUCGGGUUGUAAAGUACUUUCAGCGGGGAGGCGUUACCCGCAGAAGAAGCACCGGCUAACUCCGUGCCAGCAGCCGCGGUAAUAC
rnacentral:rRNA from 1 species